rnacentral:lncRNA from 1 species
ACCAAUCAAAAUCAGCCAACGACAACAUUUAUCUCAGAAAAACACCAGAACAAUGACUAAAUCGACGGAGGUAUUGGAUAUGGAAAAAAAAUAGAAAAAUAAGAAAUGUAGCAUCUAGAGGGUUUAGGCACCACCACCCAUCCACCAUUCGAGAGCUGCAAUAAAAGGCUCACAAAAAAUGGAACACUGGCACCAGAACACAUCAGUCCCUCCUCAACAAAGGUUCACUUGUGAGAAGAAAAAAAUAAAAAAUAAAAGAGCCACCAAAGCUCAAACAAGGCCCCCAAAAGGGGUUACAUCAAAAAUAGAGCAGAACAAGGAGACAAGGCCCCCGAAAAGGGUUAUUAAAUCGAGAGGAUGACAUCAAAAAAUAG